GCGGCCUGGUGCAACGGUGAGCAUCUCGCCUUCAUGAGGCGAGGAUCGGGGUUCGAAUCCCCGGGCCGCA
rnacentral:tRNA from 1 species